AAUAAACGUUGGCGGCGUGCUUAACACAUGCAAGUCGAGCGAGAAAGGUCUUCGGACUGAGUACAGCGGCAAACGGGUGAGUAACACGUGGGAAUCUACCUUUUAGAGAAGAAUACCCUCGAGAAAUCGAGGUUAAUACUGCAUACGUCUCGAAAGAGAGAAAGAUGGCCUCUUUGCUGUCGCUGAAAGAUGAGCCUGCGUACUAUUAGCUAGUUGGUAGGGUAAAGGCCUACCAAGGCUAUGAUGGUUAGCCGGCCUGAGAGGGUGUACGGCCACACUGGAACUUAGACACGGUCCAGACUCCUACGGGAGGCAGCAGUGAGGAAUAUUGCGCAAUGGGCGAAAGCCUGACGCAGCGACGCCGCGUGGAGGGAUGAAGGUCUUAGGAUUGUAAACUUCUGUUAAGCGGGAAGAAAGACGAAGUGUUAAUACCACCUUAUGAUGACGGUACCGCUAAAGAAAGACACCGGCUAACUUCGU
rnacentral:rRNA from 1 species